AUUCAUAUGCUAGUUCUAUUCAUGCGAUACUUGACAAAAGAUAGCCUUAUAGUAUAGGUGAGUGACCGUACUUCUUAUAUGAUUAGUGUUGGUUUAAACUAGCCCGGAAGGAGAUGUAACACCUUGCACAUUUUAGCAUGUGUACUGCAAGUUAACUCCGAUAGAAGUAUUUAAACUAGAGGUAGUAAGGUGGUAAUUGGGCCAAAUGCACUACCACCUACUUGCAUUAAUUUGGCCCAAGUUGAGUAGAAGGAUAAGGGGAAAAAAUGGACAGCCAAGGCCCAAUAGUCUUAAGCCCUAAAAGGCCCAAGUGAAAAGUCCAAAUAGGUGGACCACCUACUUGCAUUAAGUAUGGCCCAAAUUGACAAGAAUAGAGGGAUAAUUCGGAGUAGGGCCCAACAAGUGUUGAAAUUCCCAAAAGCCCAAGUUAUAAGGCCAAGUAGGUGGGACCAAGUAGGUGGGUCACCUACUUGACAAUACAUGGCCAAAAUUAGUCAAGAAAUUCGGCCAUUACACCUCCUUUUUAAAGGGAUAAAGAUCAGAUCUUUUGCUUCAUUUUUACCUUGCAAAAUUUUCAGAUUUCUUAAGUUCUCUCUUGGUCUCUCUUGGCUUCAAUUAGCAGCCCUAGAACACCUUGGGUUCUUGAGUAUUGCCCCCUUUCCAAGUAAAAGUUUGAAGGAGAGUUUCAGUUCUUGAAGUACAAGUUUAGAGGAUAAAUUCCCAAACACUAAGAUUAGCACCCAAGAAGGGAGGCUGAAUCGUGACAAUUGGAUUGGUCCGAAAAUAAGGCACAGGUACUCCCGCUAGUAGACCUCCUCAAUAGGAGCAUACGACACUCAGCUACUUUUGGUAAGCUCCACGUUGCUUCGGAGCUUUACUGAGCCCUUGGUAGAUUCAUUUUGGUAUUGUAUCGUAGUUAAGGGUAAGGCGGGGUCUGU